UUCUUUCCAGUUGUGUACACGAAGAAGCACAGAGCAAAAGAGAAUAACUACUGCAAAUAUGACAAUCAACUUCUUCAAUUAUUCACUUCAAGUUUGUACCUUGCGGCUGUGGUUUGCUGUUUCUUUGCAUCAAAAUGUUGCAAGAAGUUUGGAAGAAAACCUACCAUGCAAUUGGCAGCCUUUUUCUUCUUUAUCGGUGUUAUUCUCGAUGCCGCGGCAAUGAAUCUUCCGAUGCUCAUUGUUGGACGGCUUUGUUUGGGUGCAGGUGUUGGAUUUGGAAACCAGGUAUUGAUUAACUGUGAUAUAAAUCAUAUAAUAUAUAUGUAUCUAUAUGUCAUGUCUUUUUCAAGUGAUCUGAAACUUUUUUCCACAACAUCUGGAUGUAUUUUAUGGCUGCAUUCGGAUUUUUUUUUUUUUAAUCUGUUUUUCUGAUUCCUGUAUACUAUGUGGAUAUCAUUAGGAUUUUGAGAAAGUUAUUUUAUGUAUUUUUUUUAAAGAUACUCACAUUAUAUUAGCAUUUAAUUUCAUUGAAGUUAUUCAAUAGAAAUAACUAUUACAGUCAAUUAUUUGUCAAGAUGAUCGAUACAUUUACCAUCUUGUCCAAAAUUUUAGACGAGAUGAUUAAGCCCUCAUUGAAUUAAAUUUCAUUUUUAUCUCUCUUAUUUUCAAUCACACAAUUUUCUAUAAAAUAAUAUUGCAUGUAAAUCGAAAACUUUUCCUUCUUUUUCAAUCAUUCAUUUUUCAAAAAAAUAUUAUUCCACCCAUUAUAAUUUGAAAUAAUGGGGGCAAAAUGGGGCUAAGAUUUAUUCAUUCCAUAUCAUGUUCUUUCAAGUUUUUCCUAAGUUUGUUGUUCUUUUACGUAUACUUUUGUAUGUCGAAGGAUGGGUAUUGCCCGAGUGACGGAAUGGCAACUACCCUGCAACAUUUUGAAUUUUUUUUUUUUAAACUAAGUAGAAAUUUUGAAAUUUUUGGUUAAUAUGUACAUAAUAUGUGUAUUUUUUUUGUCCCUUCAACAAACUGAAUUUCAGGCAGUGCCACUUUUCAUAUCAGAAAUUGCUCCACCAAAGUACAGGGGAGGCCUUAACAUUUGUUUUCAGAUGUUGAUCACAUUGGGAAUUUUGUGUGCCAACAUUGUGAACUAUUUUACUUCCAAAUUGCAUCCUUAUGGUUGGAGAAUCUCUCUUGGUGGUGCUGCAGUACCAGCCAUUAUCCUCGGCUUGGGCUCCCUUAUCAUAGUCGAGACACCUACAAGCCUAAUCGAACGUGGUAAAAAACAAGAAGGUCUAAAAGCUCUAAAGAAAAUCCGGGGAGUAGAAGAUGUCCAAAAGGAGUAUGACGAGAUUCUACAAGCGACUGAAGUCGCUAAAAAGAUCGAUCACCCUUUUAGAAACCUAAUGAAACGGUCGAGUAGGCCUCAACUUAUCUGUGGUACUAUUUUACAAGUUUUUCAGCAGUUCACCGGAAUCAAUGUGAUCAUGUUUUACGCCCCGGUUUUGUUCCAAACCAUGGGGUUGGGAGGAGAUGCAUCUCUAUUGUCAUCUGUAGUGACUGGUUCAAUCAAUUCAGCAUCCACAUUGGUUGCAAUUUUUGGUGUGGAUAUAUUUGGAAGAAGGGCUUUACUUAUUGAAGCAGCCAUUCAAAUGCUUAUUUCUCAGGUUUGUGACAUGUUAAGUAAUUAGGGCUCUAUUGGAGUUGAUUUUAUUUUUCCUUUCUGUAGAAGAAUUUUUUAGAGGAAAUUACCUUAAUAUUUGUUUGAAAACUAAUUUUCAAAAGAGUUUUCUAUUUCAAAAGUACUUUAAAAGGAAACCACGUUGGAUUAGCUUUCUUUAAAAAUUUUUCUAACUAAAACAAGUACUUUUAUAAAAUUAGCCGUCCAAAAACUCCUUAUGUAUCUCAAAAGCUCUUUUUGACUUUUCUAGAGUCAUGCUAGACAGACUCUUAAUACAGUUUGUUUUCUUUAAGGAUGCUAUAAUACAUUGUUGUUUUUUUGCAGGUUAUUACAGGAGUAAUGCUUGAAGAGCAUCUCAAAGCAACAAACUCUAUAUCAAAAGUUUAUGCAUACAUAGUGGUGGUGUUGAUCUGCGUUUUCGUGUCUGGUUUCGCAUGGUCUUGGGGUCCUUUGGGCUGGUUAAUUCCAAGUGAAAUAUUCCCACUCGAGACGAGAACUGCUGGAUUUUUCUUUGCUGUUAGCGUGAACAUGAUUUUCACCUUCUUGAUUGCUCAAGCUUUUCUCACAAUGCUGUGCCAUAUGAAAUCCGGGAUCUUCUUUUUCUUUGCUGCAUGGAUUGUUAUAAUGGGAUGUUGGGCUGUGUUCUUUCUGCCAGAAACUAAGGGAAUCCCCAUUGAUGAAAUGAAUGAGAGAGCUUGGAAAAAACACUGGUUUUGGAAGAAAUAUUUCAAUUCUGAUGAUGAAGCUAUUAAGCCUGUGGGAGAUAAAGCAUCUACUGAAGGGAAGGCUUGAUCUAUAUAUGCAUGUUCUCAAGAGUCAGUCUUGUUAAUUUUUUAGUUUUUUAUUUUUUUCAUGACUGUCUUAUUAAUUAAUUCGAAUCACUCUUUACAAUUUAUUAUCUGAAUUUCUACUUCAAAAUUGUUAUAAAUUGUUAAAUUGGAAGUUGGUUUUCGAAGGCAUGCAGAUUUUUACCCCUUCUAUAUCGCUCAAGUAGUUAAAUUGGACGUCAGUUAGUUGGACUUAAUGUUAAUCUUGUUGUGGGAAUAUAUUGACGAGAAGUAUUCAAUUCAACCUGAGGACAAAACCGAUCUCACUAUAUCCUGGAUUUUUGGGUUCGUGAUCACUAAGGAGUCUCGCUUCUUUCGAAUAUCUUCAUGGAUAUGAUUAAAAGCAUUUCUUGCUAAACUUUGACCGAAAUUAGGACCUUCCCUUUCCUUUGACCAAUGGUUCCUCCAACCAAUUUGUCCGUCCUUUCUAUUUCUCGAUAAGUGGUCACGCUCUUUUGGGUACAUACGUAUAAUCUUAGUCUUUGUUUGAUUCUUUGGAAUGAUUUUCGGGAUAAAAUAUCAGAAUAUUGUCCAAGAAUAUAGAAAAUCAAUCGGACAACCGAAAGUUUGAGGUCCUCGUUUUAAUUUAUGUGGUUAAUAUUAUGAUAAAAAUCAGAAUAAAGUGGCAUACGGUGCUUUCGGGUGCAACAUGCACAUAUGGUGUUCUUUUUCUAUAAAGAAAUUGCCUAGUCUUGUCAUUUCCAAGUGAAAAGCUACCUAUGUUCAUAUUGCCUCCUUGAACGUACGUACGUACGUACUUUUUUUUUUUCUUUUUUUUUUCUGGGACGAGGGAUUCCCAGUAAGUGCGAACGGUAUAUAACAUGUUAUCUAUUUUCAGGAGGAGUUACAUCCAUGGAUGAUUUCUUGUUGAAGUUCUUUCCAGUUGUGUACACGAAGAAGCACAGAGCAAAAGAGAAUAACUACUGCAAAUAUGACAAUCAACUUCUUCAAUUAUUCACUUCAAGUUUGUACCUUGCGGCUGUGGUUUGCUGUUUCUUUGCAUCAAAAUGUUGCAAGAAGUUUGGAAGAAAACCUACCAUGCAAUUGGCAGCCUUUUUCUUCUUUAUCGGUGUUAUUCUCGAUGCCGCGGCAAUGAAUCUUCCGAUGCUCAUUGUUGGACGGCUUUGUUUGGG
rnacentral:lncRNA from 1 species